rnacentral:rRNA from 1 species
GGUGACCUGCGGAAGGAUCAUUACACUCAGUAGUUUACUACUGUAAAGGGGGCUGUUAGUCUGUAUAGCGCAAGCUGAUGAGCAGCUGGCCUCUUUUAUCCACCCUUGUCUUUUGCGUACCCACGUUUCCUCGGCAGGCUUGCCUGCCGAUUGGACAACCCUAUAACCUUUUUAAUUUUCAAUCAGCGUCUGAAAAACUUAAUAAUUACAACUUUCAACAACGGAUCUCUUGGUUCUGGCAUCGAUGAAGAACGCAGCGAAAUGCGAUAAGUAGUGUGAAUUGCAGAAUUCAGUGAAUCAUCGAAUCUUUGAACGCACAUUGCGCCCCUUGGUAUUCCAUGGGGCAUGCCUGUUCGAGCGUCAUUUGUACCCUCAAGCUCUGCUUGGUGUUGGGUGUUUGUCCUCUCCCCAGCGUUUGGACUCGCCUUAAAGUGAUUGGCAGCCAGUGUUUUGGUAUUGAAGCGCAGCACAAGUCGCGAUUCUUAGCAAACACCCGCGUCCACAAGCCUUUUUUUAACUUUUGACCUCGGAUCAGGUAGGGAUACCCGCUGAACUUAAGCAUAUCAAUAAGCGGAGGAAAAGAAACCAACAGGGAUUGCCCUAGUAACGGCGAGUGAAGCGGCAACAGCUCAAAUUUGAAAUCUGGCUCUUUCAGAGUCCGAGUUGUAAUUUGCAGAGGGCGCUUUGGCGUUGGGAGCGGUCCAAGUUCUUUGGAACAGGACGUCACAGAGGGUGAGAAUCCCGUACGUGGUCGCUAUCCUUCGCCGUGUAAAGCCCCUUCGACGA